ACCCUCGUAUUAUUCUGUUUUGGGUUGAAUCGGAGCUUAGCGCCGUUCAUUUUUUUACACAACACCUGCGUAAAAAAUAAACGACGCAGUGCUCGCGAUAGCGCUUUUCCAGAGAAAUAGCGGAUAAUGCCGUGCCCCGAUAUGCAGCAAAUCUGCCGUAGACGUGCCAUUUCAGGGCAU
rfam:Pseudomonas sp. TRMO17WK12:I11 isolate Yellow genome assembly, chromosome: 1